CACAACUGAUCAACUAACUCAACCGGUCUGUGAUAAAACGGUUACAUUAGUUGCUUAGUGCAACAUCAUGACCUGAUGGUGACCUUUCAGCACAUAAUGAUCCCACUGUGACAUGACUACCACAACCUGGUGUUUUAAGGGUUCGGGUUGCCUAGGUGCCACAUUAGAAACAUUUGGUGUAAAUACAUGAUGGCAUUUCUAGAUUCCACUUGAGAAUGAUUUCAGUUUGCAAUACUAUUCAUAUUUUGGACCAGACCCAUUCAGUGCCUUUUAUACCAGCAACAAACUUUUAAAAUCAAUUAUUUGGGGCACAGUUGCUGUAGAGAUGUGAGAAACUGAGUGAUGCGUUAUCCUUUUUGUGGUCUUUGUGAGGACACAAGCAGCAGCUUUCUGCAUGAGGUGCAGUUGUCUCGGUGAGAGAGAUGGAGUACAGAUAAAGGGAGUUUGGAGUUAAUAUGGGCAACCCUGUGCCACUGUCAAUGGAGAACUGGUUACUGAGUUCUCAAUGCAUACCACUCACCUUAAAUUAGGAAUACAUCUUGAUCAAAGGUUUUACAGGUAACUUGAAUUUUGUUUCAACUUCUGUUUUCUUUGAGGCAGCAAAGUUAGGUUUUCAUGUUUCUAUGUUUUCAAGAGUUGUCAAAAGCAUCUUCCUAAUUCCAAAAAAACUUUGGUACAAACAGACGUUGCACUGCAUAAAAACACCCUGAUGACAAAACUUAGCAUUCUUGUUUAAAAAUAAGCAUGAAUGCUUGAAAUGUGCCUCAAAACUAGACAAUCUACUACAAUGGGAUGCAUUCUAACAGCAGCAGACACAUGCACACUUGAAGCGACUCAUUUCCUUUUUUUCCUUUCUUCCUGGGCUUCAGCACACUGCUGAACAUACAAGGACAAAAUCACGGAACAGCUGUAUUGUAUCACUAAUUUUAGCUCCCUUAACCACAACCCUAAUGCCUCCCCUGCACUACAGCUGUGCAGGAACUACACUACCAUGCUUAAUACUGAAAUAAAUCAACAGCAUUGCAACAGCUGUUUUGCAGAGUAGGAUGAAAAGUUUUUAAUCAUAUAAACACAUUACUAUCAUGUGAUGAGAAUCUGUAAAGGCUGAAUCACCAAGUGAACUGCUGGUGGCUGAGAACCUAGUUUUAGGGAUGUCACAUUUCUAUAAAAUAUCUGGGAGAUAUGAUGGGACCACACAAAGCCUCAUUGGCUGAACU